GCUAGCUAGCCCUCUGAAGGCACGAGUGUCAGACGCAGGCAAGGUCACCUGGCCCCACAGAACUCAUCACAGGCACAGACUCAUGUGGCCUGUCUACCACCACGGGCAGCACCCGGGCCAGAAUCUGAGCCCGGACAUUUAGCAGCACCCUGAUCCUGCCACAGAUGCACAUUUCCUUCCCCAUUCCCCAGCAAAGGGGCCAUGGAGGAAGCAACAAGUUUCUCCAGAUAUAAUUAAAGCAAGGAUUUCGAGAUAAGGUCAUUCUGGAUUACGAUGGGCCCUAAAUCCAAUGAUGAGUGUCCUUGUAAGAGA